UACGUAGGGGCAAGCGUUGUCCGGAAUUACUGGGCGUAAAGGGCGUGUAGGUGGGAAAUUAAGUCAUGGGUGUAAACUCUGGCUCAACCUAGAGAUUGCCCAUGAACUGGUUUCUUGAGGCAGGAGAGGAAGUGGAAUUCCGUAAGUGUAGCGGUGAAAUGCGUAGAUAUUAGGAGGAACACCAGUGGCGAAGGCGACUUCUGGACUGUCCCUGACACUGAGGCGCGAAAGCCAGGGAGCGAACGGAGUAG
rnacentral:rRNA from 1 species